rnacentral:tRNA from 1 species
GGGUGAGUAGUUCAGUGGUAGAACGCUGUCCUGAUAAGACAGAAGUCGGAGGUUCAAUCCCUCCCUCACCCACCA